rnacentral:ribozyme from 14 species
ACAGAGGAAAAGGAACAACGCAAAGAAAAGAAACGAAAAGAAAAAGGAGGAAAAGGCACUUGAAGAUCUUUUUCUGAUGUUGAUCUCCUUUU